rnacentral:rRNA from 1 species
UUCCGGUUGAUCCUGCCGGACCCCACUGCUAUCGAGGUGGGACUAAGCCAUGCUAGUCGAACGCACAGAACUAUGUCUGUGAGUGGCAUACUGCUCAGUAACACGUAGCUAACCUACCCUUCGGACGUGGACAACCCCGAGAAAUUGGGGCUAAUCCGCGAUAGAUGUGAUGUCCUGGAAUGGUAUUACGUCUAAAGGUAUCUCAUACAUGUUUGAUAUACGCCUAAGGAUGGGGCUGCGGCUGAUCAGGCAGUUGGCGAGGUAAUGGCUCACCAAACCAUUGACCAGUACGGGCCAUGAGAGUGGUAGCCCGGAGAUGGACACUGAGACAAGGGUCCAGGCCCUACGGGGCGCAGCAGGCGCGAAACCUCCUCAAUGCACUAACGUGCGAAGGGGUUACCUCGAGUGCUAUCUGAUGAAGGUGGCUUUUCCAUGGUCUAAAAAGCCUAGGGAAUAAGAGGGGGGCAAGACUGGUGUCAGCCGCCGCGGUAACACCAGCCCCUCGAGUGGUGGGGAUGAUUAUUUGGCCUAAAGCGUCCGUAGCCGGCCGGAUAUGUUUCCCGUUAAAUCUAACGUCUCAAGCGUUAGGCUGCGGGAAAUACUGUCUAGCUAGAGAGUGGGAGAGGUCAGCGGUAUUCUGGGGGUAGGGGCGAAAUCCUUUGAUCCCCGGAGGACCACCAGUGGCGAAGGCUGCUGACUAGAACACGUCUGACGGUCAGGGACGAAAGCUGGGGUAGCGAACCGGAUUAGAUACCCGGGUAGUCCCAGCCGUAAACGAUGCAUACUAGGUGUUGGGUUGGCCACGAGCCACCCCAGUGCCGCAGGGAAGCCGUUAAGUAUGCCGCCUGGGAAGUACGAUCGCAAGGUUGAAACUUAAAGGAAUUGGCGGGGGAGCACCACCAGGCGUGAAGCCUGCGGUUUAAUUGGAGU